rnacentral:rRNA from 1 species
GACGAACGCUGGCGGCGUGCUUAACACAUGCAAGUCGAACGGAAAGGCCCUGCUUUUGUGGGGUGCUCGAGUGGCGAACGGGUGAGUAACACGUGAGUAACCUGCCCUUGACUUUGGGAUAACUUCAGGAAACUGGGGCUAAUACCGGAUAGGAGCUCCUGCUGCAUGGUUGGGGUUGGAAAGUUUCGGCGGUUGGGGAUGGACUCGCGGCUUAUCAGCUUGUUGGUGGGGUAGUGGCUUACCAAGGCUUUGACGGGUAGCCGGCCUGAGAGGGUGACCGGCAACAUUGGGACUGAGAGACGGCCCAGACUCCUACGGGAGGCAGCAGUGGGGAAUAGUGCACAAUGGGCGGAAGCCUGAUGCAGCAACGCCGCGUGCGGGAUGACGGCCUUCGGGUUGUAAAACGCUUUCGCCUGUGACGAAGCGUGAGUGACGGUAAUGGGUAAAGAAGCACCGGCUAACUACGUG